CGGUAACAUUUCUAGCUUGCUAGAAGAUGACGAGUGGCGGACGGGUGAGUAAUACUUAGGAAUAUGCCUUUGUGUGGGGGAUAACUAUUGGAAACGAUAGCUAAUACCGCAUAACGUCUUCGGACCAAAGGGGGCUUCGGCUCUCGCGCAAAGAGUGGCCUAAGUGAGAUUAGCUUGUUGGUGAGGUAAAGGCUCACCAAGGCGACGAUCUCUAGCUGUUCUGAGAGGAAGAUCAGCCACACUGGGACUGAGACACGGCCCAGACUCCUACGGGAGGCAGCAGUGGGGAAUAUUGCACAAUGGGGGCAACCCUGAUGCAGCCAUGCCGCGUGUGUGAAGAAGGCCUUCGGGUUGUAAAGCACUUUCAGUUGUGAGGAAAGGUUGAUGGUUAAUACCCAUCAGCUGUGACGUUAGCAACAGAAGAAGCACCGGCUAACUCCGUGCCAGCAGCCGCGGUAAUACGGAGGGUGCGAGCGUUAAUCGGAAUUACUGGGCGUAAAGCGCACGCAGGCGGUUAUAUAAGCUAGAUGUGAAAGCCCCGGGCUCAACCUGGGAAUAGCAUUUAGAACUGUAUGACUAGAGUCUUGGAGAGGGGAGUGGAAUUCCAGGUGUA
rnacentral:rRNA from 1 species